AACGCUGGCGGAGGCUUAACACAUGCAAGUCGAGCGGUAACAGAGAUAGCUUGCUAUCUGCUGACGAGCGGCGGACGGGUGAGUAACGCGUAGGAAACUACCCGGUAGUGGGGGACAACCGUUGGAAACGACGGCUAAUACCGCGUACGCUCUACGGAGGAAAGGGGGCUUCGGCUCUCGCUAUCGGAUGUGCCUGCGUGGGAUUAGCUAGUUGGUGGGGUAAAAGCCUACCAAGGCGACGAUCUCUAGCUGGUCUGAGAGGAUGAUCAGCCACACUGGGACUGAGACACGGCCCAGACUCCUACGGGAGGCAGCAGUGGGGAAUAUUGGACAAUGGGCGCAAGCCUGAUCCAGCCAUGCCGCGUGUGUGAAGAAGGCUUUCGGGUUGUAAAGCACUUUCAUCAGUGAGGAAAGGGUAGUAGUUAAUACCUGCUAUCUGUGACGUUAACUGAAGAAGAAGCACCGGCCAACUACGUGCCAGCAGCCGCGGUAAUACGUAGGGACCGAGCGUNGUCCGGAAUUAUUGGGCGUAAAGAGCUCGU
rnacentral:rRNA from 1 species